GGGUCAGUAGGUUGGUCGUGCCACCGGUACGUACUGGUCUCACUGAUUCCUCCUUCCUGAAGAACCGUAAUGCCAUUAAUUUGGUGUUGGGGGAAACAGGACUGUUACUUUGAAAAAAUUAGAGUGUUUAAAGCAAGCUAACGCUUGAAUACAUUAGCAUGGAAUAAUGAAAUAGGACGAUCGAUCCUAUUUUGUUGGUUUCUAGGAUUGACGUA
rnacentral:rRNA from 1 species